GUCUCGAUUUCACAAAAGUAGUGAGUGUACUGCUUAAGCUGGGCGAAAAUGUGUCUGUAUUUGGUGUCUUGGGUUUUUUAAUGGAGAAGAAGGAAUCUUUUAAUAAUACACCUGACAAGCAUUAAGUAUCUACACCGUUUUUUAUGCAUAAAGAUGCGCAUUUUACUGGCUAAUGUUGUCGAUUGUACUGCUGCAGUGAGAUACUAUCAUCUUCGCCGUGCCGCUUACCCAACAACGGAAGUUGAACACCGAAAAACGGGUCUGCGCAAAACAGUUGAUUUGAGCGGCGCUACUCGCAAGAUGUGAUGGUUUUUUACACAUAAAUACUGAGGACAGUCCGCGAAGGCGGGAAGGUCAAAGGGCGCACACAAACCGUGGGCGGAGUAGCCACGCCCUUCCAGCGGCCACCCAAGACGCCGCAACAGCCAACUGCUUCUCUGCAGCUAUCUUCAAGAACGCCAACACAAGUCUCAGCUUCCAUUCGGUUCGCAUUAUCUUUCCGUAUGAUUCAGAUAUGGUCUGCAGCAGUCAGAAAGUAGGCCCUUAAUUCGCAGUUAUUUUAUAUUCACGAAUUACCCUUUUUUGUAAAUUAGUGCAGAGCCAUCACGAGAAUCUCUUUGAAAGACAAGCAGUGACCUGUAUUAGAUCCAUCUACAGUGAAUUCACAGGUAUUGGAAUUGUGAUCAAGACCUCAGGAAAUCAGAGUCUUCAUACUACAUAUGCAUAGACUUUGUGAAUGGUGACUUACAGAUUUUAAAAGUUACAAAGUAUCUUAAGCUUCUACUGUUUCAUUAGCAGUGUCUUACAGUGAUCACUAAAUAAAUGUUGCUUUAAAAACUUC